UGGGGAAUCUUGGACAAUGGGCGCAAGCCUGAUCCAGCCAUGCCGCGUGAGUGAUGAAGGCCUUAGGGUUGUAAAGCUCUUUUGCCGGGGACGAUAAUGACGGUACCUGGAGAAUAAGUCCCGGCUAACUUCGUGCCAGCAGCCGCGGUAAUACGAAGGGGACUAGCGUUGUUCGGAAUCACUGGGCGUAAAGCGCACGUAGGCGGAUUUGUAAGUCAGGGGUGAAAUCCCGGGGCUCAACCUCGGAACUGCCUUUGAUACUGCGGAUCUCGAGUCCGGUAGAGGUGAGUGGAAUUCCUAGUGUAGAGGUGAAAUUCGUAGAUAUUAGGAAGAACACCGGUGGCGAAGGCGGCUCACUGGAUCGGUACUGACGCUGAGGUGCGAAAGCGUGGGAGCAAACAGGAUUAGAUACCUGUAGUCCCUGAGCGGGCUGGCAAGGCGCAU
rnacentral:rRNA from 1 species